rnacentral:rRNA from 1 species
UGUCUAAGUAUAAAGCAUUUAUACCGUGAAACUGCGAAUGGCUCAUUAAAUCAGUUAUCGUUUAUUUGAUAGUACCUUACUACUUGGAUAACCGUGGUAAUUCUAGAGCUAAUACAUGCUGAAAACCCCAACUUCGGAAGGGGUGUAUUUAUUAGAUAAAAAACCAAUGCCCUUCGGGGCUCCUUGGUGAUUCAUAAUAACUUCUCAGAUCGCAUGGCCUUGCGCCGGCGACGGUUCAUUCAAAUUUCUGCCCUAUCAACUUUCGAUGGUAAGGUAUUGGCUUACCAUGGUUUCAACGGGUAACGGGGAAUUAGGGUUCGAUUCCGGAGAGGGAGCCUGAGAAACGGCUACCACAUCCAAGGAAGGCAGCAGGCGCGCAAAUUACCCAAUCCCGACACGGGGAGGUAGUGACAAUAAAUACUGAUACAGGGCUCUUUUGGGUCUUGUAAUUGGAAUGAGUACAAUUUAAACCUCUUAACGAGGAACAAUUGGAGGGCAAGUCUGGUGCCAGCAGCCGCGGUAAUUCCAGCUCCAAUAGCGUAUAUUAAAGUUGUUGCAGUUAAAAAGCUCGUAGUUGAACCUUUGGCCUGGCUGGCAGGUCCGCCUCACCGCGUGCACUUGUCCGGCCGGGCCUUCUCUUCUGGAGAACCGCAUGCCCUUCACUGGGUGUGUUGGGGACCAGGACUUUUACUUUGAAAAAAUUAGAGUGUUCAAAGCAGGCCUUUGCUCGAAUACGUUAGCAUGGAAUAAUAGAAUAGGACGUGCGGUCCUAUUUUGUUGGUUUCUAGGACCGCCGUAAUGAUUAAUAGGGACAGUCGGGGGCAUCAGUAUUCAAUUGUCAGAGGUGAAAUUCUUGGAUUUAUUGAAGACUAACUACUGCGAAAGCAUUUGCCAAGGAUGUUUUCAUUAAUCAGUGAACGAAAGUUAGGGGAUCGAAGACGAUCAGAUACCGUCGUAGUCUUAACCAUAAACUAUGCCGACUAGGGAUCGGGCGGUGUUAUUAUUUUGAC